GUAAAUGGAGAAUUUGGGGAAUUGUGUGAACACCACACAGCAGGAUGGAUAAGAACCAUGCUGAAGGGAAAAAGCCUCUUUAAUUUAGUGCCAUGGACCGAAUUUUGACGUUUGUCUCUGCGUGGCAUGACUGGAGUGAGAAAGGAAGGCUCUGUUCUAGCACAGCCUGCCCUAAUUCCCCAGGUCAUUAGGAAAUGGAGGCAGCAGAUUGCCAGGAGUUUUGUGCAGCACAGAAAUGGAUCAGAGGGACACAGCUGUGUCCUGGACUGUCAAGGAGCUGUUCUGAGCUGCCUGUCACCCUGUCCUCCUCCUGCAAGCCACAGCUGGUGGCCACCUCGCCGUCCCCAGCCUUCUGCCCAGGCUCCUCAGACCCUCCUGCCCCAGAACUGUCCUGCAGCUGCCAGGAUUUGCAGGGGUCAGGUUUGUCAUGGAGGUCACCAUCCUUUUCUGUUCCAGCGUUAUUUUCUUUUCCAUCACGGAAUCUUCCAGCGUGGAAAAAGCAGGGUAAAAAUAGACCUUCCCUGCCCUGCAAAAGCAUGUUUGCAUCCUUCUGUCCUUGUUCAAAAUGUCUAAUGAUUUAUCUCAUCUUUCUGUCAGCUCCUGAGUUGUUCCCUCUGCCUCCAGAGCUUCCUGAUAAUCUGCCUCUGUCCCAGCUGCAUUUUUUGGUCUCUCUUCUUACCACCCUUCUCUUCCUGAAGACAAAAAGAAUCUGUGCCCUUGAAACCCAGCCAUGUCCUGUAGGGUUUAUUUAAACUCUGAAAAUGGUCAUCCUUGGAAUGGUCUUUUCAGGAACUCUCUGUUGUGAUUGAUUGAUAAGUGUGCUGUGAAAUUUCAGCUGAAAUAGCUGCUUGCCUUGAUAAAGGAGAGUUUUAAAUGUAUAACGAGGAUGUACAUUGUAAUCUGCUAAAAAUGUUAUUGUGACCUGCUGUUCCAAGAUUAUAAAUGAAAUACUUCUGCAGAAUCUGUUCCUUCCUUGCUUGGUUUUCUACCCACCAGUGCACUUUUGGUGCCUUGUAUAGGAGGUCUAAAAUAAAAUAAAAUAAAAUUCAUUGCA
rnacentral:lncRNA from 1 species